ACUGUAGCCAGGUUUGUCAAGGAGGAUUUGCCCUUGGUAAAUCUGCACUGAAUGUUCCCGAUUACCUUCACAUCCAUACAUGACUGGAAAUGUUUCCAAGAGGACAUGGUCCAUGAUCUUUCCAGGGACUGAGUCUCUGUGCUGCUGUUGCUGAGGAUCUUCACAACAUGAAGUGGAGUGGUAAAGACUUCUACUUGCCAUGCAUGCAGGGUGAAAUCACCAAGCAGUGUUGUUAUUGAGUGGAGAAAACACAGACAGUGUGGAGCUGCUGAAAAUCAAUCAUAUUUUAGUGGUUUAACUCUGCUGCUUCUCCUGGUAUUAAAUGUCCUCUGAUAGGCCACAUUUACAGAGGACUACAAAAAAAAAAAGAAAAAAAA